rnacentral:rRNA from 1 species
UACGAAGGGGGCUAGCGUUGUUCGGAAUCACUGGGCGUAAAGCGCACGUAGGCGGACAUUUAAGUCAGGGGUGAAAUCCCGAGGCUCAACCUCGGAACUGCCCUUGAUACUGGGUGUCUUGAGUAUGGUAGAGGUUGGUGGAACUGCGAGUGUAGAGGUGAAAUUCGUAGAUAUUCGCAAGAACACCAGUGGCGAAGGCGGCCAACUGGACCAUCACUGACGCUGAGGUGCGAAAGCGUGGGGAGCAAACAGG